UGACUCUCCCUCCUUGGAUUAUUGGGUGACACACUAGCUACUUCAUACCUGGCGCCUGACCACUCUUGAAAAAGAUACACAGCUGAAAACUCUUAGUCCAGGAGGAGAAGGACCUGUGAUAUUUGGCUUUCCCAGGAAACUCCUACAUUCCUUCUCAAGAUCAAAUCUAAAAACAGGUUUGUAGAAUAUUCACUCCAGCUCUAAGAGAUGGCAGAAGGUGCCAGGAGUCCAUUGCCAGGAACACACUUUCCUCAGUCUCGUAAAUGAACCUGCACAGAUGGCAAAGCUAAGCAAAGGGCA
rnacentral:lncRNA from 1 species